AUUGAACGCUGGCGGCAUGCCUUACACAUGCAAGUCGAACGGUAACAGGUCUUCGGAUGCUGACGAGUGGCGAACGGGUGAGUAAUGCAUCGGAACGUGCCCAGUAGUGGGGGAUAGCCCGGCGAAAGCCGGAUUAAUACCGCAUACGACCUGAGGGUGAAAGGGGGGGAUCGCAAGACCUCUCGCUAUUGGAGCGGCCGAUGUCAGAUUAGCUAGUUGGUGGGGUAAAGGCCUACCAAGGCAACGAUCUGUAGUUGGUCUGAGAGGACGACCAGCCUAACUGGGACUGGGGCACGGCCCAGGCUCCUACGGGAGGCAGCAGUGGGGAAUUUUGGACAAUGGGCGCAAGCCUGAUUCAGCAAUGCCGCGUGCAGGAAGAAGGCCUUCGGGUUGUAAACUGCUUUUGUCAGGGAAGAAAUCUUCUGGGUUAAUACCUCGGGAGGAUGACGGUACCUGAAGAAUAAGCACCGGCUAACUACGUGCCAGCCGCCGCCGUAAUAC
rnacentral:rRNA from 1 species